UACGUAGGAGGCGAGCGUUGUCCGGAAUUACUGGGCGUAAAGAGCGCGUAGGCGGCGCGAUACAACCGAUGUGAAAGCCCCCGGCUCAACUGGGGAGGGUCAUCGGUAACGGUCGUGCUAUGAGUGCAGGAGAGGGAAGUGGAACUCCGGGAGUAGCGGUAAAAUGCGUAGAGACCCGGAGGAACACCAGUGGCGAAGGCGGCUUCCUGGUCUGCGACUGACGCUGUGGCGCGAAAGCUAGGGGAGCAAACGGG
rnacentral:rRNA from 1 species